rnacentral:lncRNA from 1 species
UAGGCAGCAUCAUAUUCUCACGAACAUUAGAAUCAUUACCAAGAAAUGAAAGUACCUGCUAAUUUAAUUGGCAUGCGCGAGCUCUAGUAAUUGGUCCUCUAUAUGUAUCAGUAGGGGAUGUGGGUGUAACUUUGUUAGUGAUUGUUUCUACCAUGGUGUACAGAAUGUUUAUCAAAUUGCCAUGGUCUACCAAGUAAUAAGGAACAUGAUUGCAUGGGUACCACAUCACAAUCAACAUAAUCAGGAACAUGAUUGCAUGGGUACCACAUCACAAUCAACAUAAUCAGCAUAUGUAGAGAUACUAAAAUUCACACGAACAAUACAUGUUACCUUAACCUUGCCGCUAUUAUUGAACCAUUGGAUAUAGUAAGGAUGUGGAUGUGGUCUUGUGGUGAGAGAUAGAUUCUCCACCAUCUCCAUGCUAGCCCAGUUGUUGCACCUCCCUCCAUCUAUGAUGACGCGAAUAGAAUGUUCCUUCACAACUCCCUUUUUAUGGAACAAAUUAUGCCUCUGAUUUUGCUCUGCUUGUGUCAUCUGCACACUCAAAACACAUUGAGCAACUAAACAUUCAUACCUGUCAGCGUCUUCAGGAGCCAUGUAUUGCGUCUCAUUUUCAGAAUCAUCUCCACCGUGUUCUUCACGUGUAAUAAGAGCCAAAGUCUCCUCAUCAUAGUCACUAGCGGACUCAUAACCACCACCCUCAUUAGCAAUCAUCACACGCUGAGAUUUGCAUUCUCUUGCAUAAUGACCUCUUCCCUUACAACGACGACAAAUAAUAUUAAUUGUGUGCCCUGUUGAUGCCAUGGAAGAAGAAGAGUUCUGUACAAGCCCGAAAGGUGUGCUCUUGGUUGAUAGUGGUGGUUGUGCCUGCUUUCUUGUAUCACGACUGGAGGUGGCAGCUGAUGGAGGUGCCGAUGCAGUAGAAUGUGUGGAAGUUGAGGAUGCACGCGGUGUCCAUGAGGAAGGUCGACUUGCAGAAUAGUUAGUUUGUGCCAAUGUCUGCCGAUCCUGCACUUCACGUUCAUCUUUACAAGCAAGAUGGAAUAAACGAGUGAUAUUAUUAUACUCCUUAUACUCUAGAAUAUUCUGAAUCUCUCUAUUUAAUCCACCCAUAAAAUGUGCAAGCAUAGCUUCAUUAUCCUCAACAAUACCUCAUCUAAUCAUGCCAGUUUGUAGUUCGUGAUAAUAUUCCUCUACAGAAUUUUUUCCUUGUCUUAAAUGCUGAAAUUUCUGAAGUAAUUCACGUUGAUAAUAUGGUGGAACCCAACGAGUACGCAUAUCAGUUUUCAAAGCAGCCCAAGUAGUUGGAAUAUUAGUCGGAUAUAAUCUACGAUGUUCAGACCACCACACACAAGCAAAACUAAUGAAAUCACAAAGUGUAGCAGCAACACGUCUCUCCUCGGGAUAUUCUAAACAUGGAAAACGUUGUUCGGUUUCUAACUCCCAAGUAAGAAAUAUAUCAAGAAUGUAUCUACCCUCAAAUGGUGGAAUAUUCAAUUUCAGUUUAGGGAGAUGGUCAUGAUCUCGUACCUGAGGGGGAGCCCUACCAUUGCCAUUAUUUGCAUGUGGAUGACCUGGUGGUUGUGGUGCUGGUGGUUGCACAUAGUUAUGAUUUUGAUCAACCUCUUCCUCGUAAUCUCCCGCAUAAUCAUCCUCCUCCGCAUCAGCAGCAGGAGCCACAGAAGUAUCAACAGUAGUACCAACAGUUUGGCCAGGCUCAAGAGGGACAUGACUCGCUCGGCGGAGAGUUGUUUCACGACGUGGAGGUAGUCGUCGUCGUUGUUGUUGUUGUUGUUGUUGUUGUUGCAGAGGUGCGGCAGAUGCGGCCGGUGGUGGUUGUGGAAGAUGCACAAGCAAUUCAUUAAAUUUGUUAUCUAGCUUUGUUUCAAACGUCUUCUCAAAGCCAGUUAUCUUAUCCAUGGCCUCUUCAAAAUUGUUCAGCACAUCUCGCAUCUGUUCAGUCAUCAUUUGCUGGAAUUUAUCAUGGAACUCCUUAUUCAUCAUGUUCUCCCAGUCAGUCUCAUCGACUUGUGAUCCUUCCAUGGUUAGUAGCAAUAGAAACACACAAGAAUAUGAUCCUACAGACUACUAGAAAAUGGUGGUGGUGGGGCGUCACAAAUCUGUCAAGCAAAUCUCAAAUUCUUACCAGUUCUUACCCAGAAGCAGGCGGUGAUCGGCAAUCGUCGUAGUCAAAACUCUCAAAACUUGGAUAGAGCGACUACCAGGGAGAGUCAAACGCAUGAAGUAGAUGUAUGUGGAGCUGGGAAGGCUUAUAAUGUGGUAGCAAAAAGGGUCAGCAAUAAUCAAUUCAGAGAUGCAAAGUUGAAUAAACACUCAACGACGGUAUUGUCCUGGUCCUAGGUGAGACCAUGCUAGAGACCGUCCUAAGGGUUGUAUAUAUGGAGGAAGAGGGGGGAAUUGCGUGGCCCUUGGAGGAGGGGUCCGAAACCAACCCUAACUCUUGUUUCCCCACACAUAUGGACUCUAAAAACAGCCUAUACUCGAGUAUUUCGAAAUUACAUGGGCCUGGCCCAAUAAUAAGGUGACGCAGCACCUAUAAUAGCCUCUAGACGAAAUUUAUGAAGUGGCAUCUUGUAUAUUUCGUCCAAGGCUUCACACACUCAUUAUGGUGGCUUCAAAGUCCUGAAAUCAUCACUUGUAACUCCGUUCUUGUUCCCCUUGCGCAUGCCAUCAUCUCCAUGCUUGAUCUUGCUCCAAUGAUCAUCCUUCUUGUCCAAGCUAGGCCCUUCAUUUUUAAGCCAAACAAAUAUAUCCAAUUUAAGCAACAUCAUAUUCUCAUGAACAUUAGAAUCAUUACCAAGAAAUGAAAGUACCUGGUAAUUUAAUUGGUGUUCGCGAGCUCUUGUAACUAGUCAUGUAUAUGUAUCAGUAGGGGAUGUGGGUGUAACUUUGUUAGUGAUGUCCUCAUCAAGAGGUUUAUCACUCUUGAGCUAUUAAGAUCUAUAACACCGAAGACACUAAUCUAAAGGUGGUCAAUGGACAAAGAAUUAAGCAUUAUAUCUCAGGUAUGCCUAUUAAUGUUGAAACUAACAUUAUUCAAACUAUGACACCGGAGGAAUACAUAAAAGAGACCUUCUAGAAAACUUGAGAACCCUGAAAUGGAAGAGGUAUGUGAUACGGUAAGUAAAC